UUUUAUCUGUCACUUGCUACUUUGCCAAGCUCUAAAUAUAGAUGCAAAUUUUUCUGCUUCAUCUUUUCAAUUGCAGAAAGAAGGAAGGAAGGGACUAUUCCUCAUCUGCCCUUUGGUGAGGAGCUGGACAGUUUAUGGAUAGGGAAGAAGAGAAAGGCAUCAAAGCAAGAAGUAGCCAACUUUGUUCAACUCUAUUCCCUACAUGGUUCAUCCUACAGGACGAGUCAAGAUCUAAACAUUUUUGUUUCUUAUUAUCAUGUACAUAAAGUCUGUAGAGAGGAGAUAAACUUAAUUAAAAUACUAUUUCACUGCA